rnacentral:rRNA from 1 species
UACGAGGGGGCGAGCGUUGUUCGGAAUUAUUGGGCGUAAAGGGUGCGUAGGCGGUUUGGUAAGUCUUGUGUGAAAUCUCCAGGCUCAACUUGGAGUCUGCACGAGAAACUGCCGGGCUUGAGUGUGGGAGAGGUGAGUGGAAUUCCCGGUAUAGCGGUGAAAUGCGUAGAUAUCGGGAGGAACACCUGUGGCGAAGGCAGCCCCCUGGGUCAAAACUGACGCUCAUGCACGAAAGCGUGGGGACAAACAGG